rnacentral:tRNA from 1 species
GGGGAUUUAGCUCAGUGGCGUAAGCGCCUGCCUUACGAGCAGGCAGUCAUGAGCUCGAUCCCCG